rnacentral:tRNA from 1 species
GGGCGGAUACCCAAGUGGCCAACGGGGGCUGACUGUAAAUCAGCUGGCUGACGCCUUCGGAGGUUCGAAUCCUUCUCCGCCCACCA